rnacentral:rRNA from 1 species
UACGUAGGGGGCUAGCGUUGUCCGGAAUCAUUGGGCGUAAAGAGCGUGUAGGCGGCCCGGUAAGUCCGCUGUAAAAGUCAAAGGCUCAACCUUUGAAUGUCAGUGGAUACUGCCGGGCUAGAGUCCGGAAGAGGCGAGUGGAACUCCUGGUGUAGCGGUGGAAUGCGCAGAUAUCAGGAAGAACACCAACGGCGAAGGCAGGUCUCUGGGCCGAUACUGACGCUGAGGAGCGAAAGCGUGGGGAGCGAACAGG